rnacentral:misc_RNA from 1 species
AAAGAAUCCUCUUGAUCUCUUGCCCCCAAGUCCUAUGAUAUUGGAUGAGUGGAAGAGGCUGUAUUCUAACACUAAAACCAACUUCCGUGAGGUUGCUAUUAAAGGAUUCUGGGAUAUGUAUGACCCUGAGGGAUACUCUCUUUGGUUCUGCGACUACAAAUACAAUGAUGAGAACAUGGUUUCUUUUGUGACUUUGAACAAAGUUGGCGGGUUCCUGCAGCGUAUGGACUUGGCACGCAAAUAUGCGUUUGGUAAGAUGCUGGUGAUUGGAUCGGAGCCGCCCUUCAAGGUCAAGGGCUUGUGGCUUUUCCGUGGGA